UACAGAGGGGGCAAGCGUUAUUCGGAAUUAUUGGGCGUAAAGAGCGUGUAGGCGGCUUUACAGGUCCGUUGUGAAAACUCGAGGCUCAACCUCGAGACGCCGGUGGAGACCGUAAAGCUAGAGUCCGGAAGAGGAGAGUGGAAUUCCUGGUGUAGCGGUGAAAUGCGCAGAUAUCAGGAGGAACACCCGUGGCGAAAGCGGCUCUCUGGGACGGUACUGACGCUGAGACGCGAAAGCGUGGGGAGCAAACAGG
rnacentral:rRNA from 1 species